CUACAGGCUUAACACAUGCAAGUCGAGGGGCAGCAUGGUCUUAGCUUGCUAAGGCCGAUGGCGACCGGCGCACGGGUGAGUAACGCGUAUCCAACCUGCCUUACACUCUUGGACAGCCUUCUGAAAGGGAGAUUAAUACAAGAUGUUAUCAUGAGUAAGCAUUUUCGCAUGAUUAAAGGUUUACCGGUGUAAGAUGGGGAUGCGUUCCAUUAGAUAGUAGGCGGGGUAACGGCCCACCUAGUCUUCGAUGGAUAGGGGUUCUGAGAGGAAGGUCCCCCACAUUGGAACUGAGACACGGUCCAAACUCCUACGGGAGGCAGCAGUGAGGAAUAUUGGUCAAUGGACGAGAGUCUGAACCAGCCAAGUAGCGUGAAGGAUGAAGGUUCUAUGGAUUGUAAACUUCUUUUAUACGGGAAUAAACGAAUCCACGUGUGGAUUUUUGCAUGUACCGUAUGAAUAAGGAUCGGCUAACUCCGUGCCAGCAGCCGCGGUAAUACGGAGGAUCCGAGCGUUAUCCGGAUUUAUUGGGUUUAAAGGGAGCGUAGAUGGGUUGUUAAGUCAGUUGUGAAAGUUUGCGGCUCAACCGUAAAAUUGCAAUUGAUACUGGCAGUCUUGAGUACAGUUGAGGUAGGCGGAAUUCGUGGUGUAGCGGUGAAAUGCUUAGAUAUCACGAAGAACUCCGAUUGCGAAGGCAGCUUACUAACCUGUAACUGACAUUGAUGCUCGAAAGUGUGGGUAUCAAACAGGAUUAGAUACCCUGGUAGUCCACACGGUAAACGAUGAAUACUCGCUGUAGGCGAUAUACAGUCUGCGGCCAAGCGAAAGCAUUAAGUAUUCCACCUGGGGAGUACGCCGGCAACGGUGAAACUCAAAGGAAUUGACGGGGGCCCGCACAAGCGGAGGAACAUGUGGUUUAAUUCGAUGAUACGCGAGGAACCUUACCCGGGCUUAAAUUGCAACCGAAUAUGGCGGAAACGCUAUAGCUAGCAAUAGCGGUUGUGAAGGUGCUGCAUGGUUGUCGUCAGCUCGUGCCGUGAGGUGUCGGCUUAAGUGCCAUAACGAGCGCAACCCUUGCCGAUAGUUACUAACAGGUCAUGCUGAGGACUCUGUCGGGACUGCCAUCGUAAGAUGUGAGGAAGGUGGGGAUGACGUCAAAUCAGCACGGCCCUUACGUCCGGGGCUACACACGUGUUACAAUGGGGGGUACAGAGGGCUGCUACCACGCAAGUGGAUGCCAAUCCCAAAAACCUCUCUCAGUUCGGAUUGAAGUCUGCAACCCGACUUCAUGAAGCUGGAUUCGCUAGUAAUCGCGCAUCAGCCACGGCGCGGUGAAUACGUUCCCGGGCCUUGUACACACCGCCCGUCAAGCCAUGGGAGCCGGGGGUACCUGAAGUGCGUAACCGCAAGGAGCGCCCUAGGGUAAAACUGGU
rnacentral:rRNA from 1 species